AUGAAAUGGAAGCAGUAAAUGAAGUUCUCUGCCUAUAAGACAAACAGAAUGCAAUCAGCAGCAGUGUAAACGCCCACCUGCUCUCUCUCUUACUCCUGAGCUAGAGGGACCAGCCCUGAGCUGAGAAGGUAUUUAAUUCUCCAUACCCAUUCAAUCCUUGGGCCUUC
rnacentral:sRNA from 1 species